UUGGAAAAGACCCUCUUAUACUGCAGUGGGGCAGCAGUGGUGAAAGGUCCAGUGUUUCCAGAGCCAGAUUCCCUGAGAGCUGCAGAAAAGGCCACCUGAGGUGUCCCUGAGAGCAUCACAUUACCACAAACACAUCAGAGGUAAGGUCACGUUAGCCCUGAAGGGAAUGCCUCUGCUGUCAAACAGUGACAGCUCUGGAUCUUCCACCAGCCCUGGAGAAGAAUCACACCUGUGCCAGGAGGCAGAGCAUGCCUUGCAGUCUCUGGACGCAAGAUGCAGGAGCAGUAGCUCAGGGACCACUGCACUUCUUAUCUUCAGAGCAGUGAUUUUGAGACUGGAGUCAGACUGAAGAAUAAUGAAGACUUUACU